UCAUUACCGAGUGCGGGCCCUCGCGGCCCAACCUCCCACCCUUGUCUAUACACCUGUUGCUUUGGCGGGCCCACCGGGGCCACCUGGUCGCCGGGGGACGUCGUCCCCGGGCCCGCGCCCGCCGAAGCGCUCUGUGAACCCUGAUGAAGAUGGGCUGUCUGAGUACUAUGAAAAUUGUCAAAACUUUCAACAAUGGAUCUCUUGGUUCCGGCAUCGAUGAAGAACGCAGCGAAAUGCGAUAAGUAAUGUGAAUUGCAGAAUUCCGUGAAUCAUCGAAUCUUUGAACGCACAUUGCGCCCCCUGGCAUUCCGGGGGGCAUGCCUGUCCGAGCGUCAUUUCUGCCCUCAAGCACGGCUUGUGUGUUGGGUGUGGUCCCCCCGGGGACCUGCCCGAAAGGCAGCGGCGACGUCCGUCUGGUCCUCGAGCGUAUGGGGCUUUGUCACUCGCUCGGGAAGGACCUGCGGGGGUUGGUCACCACCAUAUUUUACCACGGUUGACCUCGGAUCAGGUAGGAGUUACCCGCUGAACUUAAGCAUAUCAAUAAGCCGGGAGGAG
rnacentral:rRNA from 1 species